rnacentral:rRNA from 1 species
UACGAAGGGGGGCUAGCGUUGCUCGGAAUCACUGGGCGUAAAGCGCACGUAGGCGGAUCUUUAAGUCAGGGGUGAAAUCCCAAGGCUCAACCUUGGAACUGCCUUUGAUACUGGGGAUCUCGAGUCCGGAAGAGGUUGGUGGAACUGCGAGUGUAGAGGUGAAAUUCGUAGAUAUUCGCAAGAACACCAGUGGCGAAGGCGGCCAACUGGUCCGGUACUGACGCUGAGGUGCGAAAGCGGUGGGGAGCAAACAGG